GAAGAAGAAGAAGAAGAAGAAGAAGAAGAAGAAGAAGAAGAAGAAGAAGAAAAGGUUUCAUUUGAAAAGACCCGAGUAUGGUUCUGUGACUAUGGAGUCACAGAAAGAUGGAAGAUGGGCAGGUCAUUUGAUGCACUCUUCUGGUCUUCAUAGAAAUGAGCAUGCAUGAGUGCAACCAGGCACACACACACACACAAAUCCAUACAAAUAUGCACACACAGAAUUAAAAUAAAUGUUUUAAAAAUGUUAAGAACCAAAACUUGCAGUGAGAUUGAGGCUGCACUGUGAGUUUCCUUGGUACACACUCGGUUGUGCAUCUAUUUUGGUGAGAACGAACUUUGUCAUUUAAUCAGUCCUGAGUGGCCUGCUUUUCCUUCAUAAAGGUUAAGGGAAGGAGUGACAGAGUAGUCUCUCCUACUUUCAUUAAGGGACUAUGGAUAAGUAGGUGAGAAAUGGUGCUGGUGGGAGAAUUUCCCUUUCCCACCCCUGCUUUUUGGCAGUUAGAUGUUAAUCACACAGCAUUAGUCCUUUAGGGUGCCAGCCACCUGACAACUUUCCCUUAAGAAUAACAAAUUGUGUCCUUCACCAGUAAGAAUAAGACUUCAUUCUGUUUUCAUUUUUUUAUCAGUCUUUUACCCUCUGUAAAUGCGAUAAGUAUGAAAGUCUUUUUUUUUUUCUUUCUUUUUUUAAGGGCCGCUGAAGAGAUUUUGGACAGAAAAAGACUGUACUUUCUAACAUGAAUAUGGCAAAGUCACCUCCAAUAUAGAUCUCCCUUCUCUCACCUCAGUCCAGCUGUGUUGACAGAGAUACACCUGUCAAAGCCUUUAAAAGGGUCAACACCCAGAAGAGUGGUGUCUCAAAGUUCUGGAGUUUGUGGAAAUACAUAAAACUUAUGAGAAUAUUUUAUGUACCUAUUUUAUGUUCUUAAACAAACUGGUAUGUUUUAUACUCUAAAAGUCCCAGACAUUUAUAAAAUGCACAUUAAACAUAUCGAUCCACCCCAAGCUUCCUAUCAAACCACUCAAGUAGUCCUAUUCAUCCACCUUCGAGCUUCAUGUCCUUUUAUUUGUUUAUUUUUGGCAUUAAUACUCCUGAGGUCAAUGAGUGCUGCACAUAUACAUGCAGCUGUGUGGCCAAGCACUGGUGCAUGGGAAACCUACUAACAGACAAAGGAGAGUGACGUUUCCUUCCUUAGCACCUCUCUCUAUAGGAGUGCUGCAUCAGAGGUGCCUGCACAUCUGAGUUGAAAUGUUAUUGGCUUUAUUUUGUGCAGGCAGCCACGCCUGCUGUGAGUUGACACUUGGAACAGGUAGGCCAUGGCCAGAAGUCUUUAUUUCACAGAUCUCCUUUCUAUAUGCCAGCUCUUACACUUUUUAUAGUCCCUUAGGUGUGAGCUUUCCUGAGCCCAGGAUGGUAGGAGGUUAAUGUAGAUGGUCCAUGCAUAGCUAAGCUCUCUGAGUUAUAUAUGAUUGUCACUUUGAGCAGGAUGAGUUUCUUAAUUAAUGAUUUACCCACUGCAAAACUAAAACAAAUAAAAAUUAAUUUUAGACUAAAGCUACAAGCAACAAAAUUCUCCUUGAGGCUCCAGAUUCCAAUGCCCGGGUUUUAGAAUUUGUGUGCUGUGUGCCCUGCUACGUUCUGACUGUCUUCCUGGGUGGACAACUUUUACUUGGAUGAGUACAUUUUAAUAAAUGAUUGUAAAAAGAAAACCCCCUUUAAACCUAAAAUUAUAAAUUUUCAAGAAUCAUAAUGGCUUCAUGAGUGUCCACUUCUUGCUCCACUCCCCCUCCUUGACUCAGAUAUCCCAGGACUGCCUUGAUUUUUUUUUUAAUUUCCUUAUCCUCCUUCUCUACCUCCCCAGUGCUGGGGAGGGAUACGGGCAUGAAACACUGCACCCAAUUGUCUGUGAUGUAGAGCCUGGCAUUCAGGGCUUUGUGCAUGUUUGGCACUGAAUCAAUUGAGCUACAUCCCUGGCUAUUUAUGUAGUUCUUAUGCAGUUUGUACUACUUUUUUUCCUGAGUCUUUCCAAUACUGUGUUAUGUCCUUCC
rnacentral:lncRNA from 1 species